rnacentral:rRNA from 1 species
GUAGGGAAUAUUGGGCAAUGGAGGCAACUCUGACCCAGCCAUGCCGCGUGCAGGAUGAAGGCCCUCUGGGUUGUAAACUGCUUUUAUCUGGGAAGAAACCUUUGGAUUCAUCUGAAGCUGACGGUACCAGAGGAAUAAGCACCGGCUAACUCCGUGCCAGCAGCCGCGGUAAUACGGAGGGUGCAAGCGUUAUCCGGAUUUACUGGGUUUAAAGGGUGCGCAGGCGGACUGUUAAGUCAGUGGUGAAAGCCCCGGGCUCAACCUGGGAAUUGCCAUUGAUACUGGCGGUCUUGAGUACAGUAGAGGUAGGCGGAAUGCAACAUGUAGCGGUGAAAUGCUUAGAUAUGUUGCAGAACACCGAUUGCGAAGGCAGCUUGCUAUGCUGUUACUGACGCUCAGGCACGAAAGCGUGGGGAUCAAACAGGAUUAGAAACCCGAGUAGUCC